rnacentral:tRNA from 1 species
UGGCCCGUUGGUCAAGCGGUUAAGACACCGCCCUUUCACGGCGGUAACACGGGUUCGAAUCCCGUACGGGUCACCAU